rnacentral:lncRNA from 1 species
UCUUGUGCACUUACACUCAUUUAUUUAUGUUUUUUGAUUAAGCUUGAUUUAAUUGUUUCAUUAUCUUGUAUCCCCAUUCGACAAAAUGUACCCCUAUUCCCAUGACAUGUAAUAAUUUUUACUGCUUUAAUUCUUUGUUCGCUUGCUUGUUUAGCUAGUUCUAACACAAGAAUAAAAUCAAUCGCUUUCUCAAAAGAAAAAAAAGAAAAAAAACUCGAUCCAACGUCAGGUAUUUUCCCAAUAACAAAUAAAUCCAUUUCAACCUUCCAUUCAAAUCUAUAUGUAUCCUCUUUAUCUUUCAAACUUUCAUUUC